rnacentral:rRNA from 1 species
AGUGAACGCUGGCGGUAGGCCUAACACAUGCAAGUCGAACGGCAGCACAGUAAGAGCUUGCUCUUACGGGUGGCGAGUGGCGGACGGGUGAGGAAUACAUCGGAAUCUACUUUUUCGUGGGGGAUAACGUAGGGAAACUUACGCUAAUACCGCAUACGACCUACGUGUGAAAGCAGGGGAUCUUCGGACCUUGCGCGAUUGAAUGAGCCGAUGUCGGAUUAGCUAGUUGGCGGGGUAAAGGCCCACCAAGGCGACGAUCCGUAGCUGGUCUGAGAGGAUGGUCAGCCACACUGGAACUGAGACACGGUCCAGACUCCUACGGGAGGCAGCAGUGGGGAAUAUUGGACAAUGGGCGGAAGCCUGAUCCAGCCAUACCGCGUGGGUGAAGAAGGCCUUCGGGUUGUAAAGCCCUUUUGUUGGGAAAGAAAAGCAGCAGGUUAAUACCCCGCUGUUCUGACGGUACCCAAAGAAUAAGCACCGGCUAACUUCGUG